GGUGACCAUGGAAGUUGGAAUUCACUAAGGAGUGUAUAACAACACACAUGCCAAAUCAA
rnacentral:rRNA from 1 species